AGAUGCGAUACGUAGUGUGAAUUGCAGAUUUUUGUGGAUCAUCGAGUUUUUGAACGCAUAUUGCGCCUUCCGAUGAGGAAGGCAUAAACCUGUUUGAGUGUUGUUUAAAACCUCAUGGAGCAAAUGCUUCAUGGUGUUGGAUGUUGCUUGUUAAGCAUCCUCUUAAACCGUUACGACUUCGUCUUGGCGAGCGUUAACAAUGAGUUUCUUGGAACCUAGCUGUUAGCUGUAAACCAAAGAUUCGUGGUCGGUAAACUUAGUCAACAAUAUUUCAACCUCAGAUCAGGUAAGAAGACCCGCUGAACUUAAGCAUAUCAAUAAGCGGAGGAAAAGAAACCAACUGGGAUUCCCUCAGUAGUGGCGAACGAAGAGGGAAAAGCUCAACCUUGAAAUUGGACAAGUGUCUUGUUCAAGUUGUGGGUUGUGGAGGUGUGGUCGGUUGGGGCUUGGGUCCAAGUCCUUUGGAACAAGGUGUCAAGGAGGGUGAGAACCCCGUUCAUGACUUGAAGCUUCCAACCUUGUGUCCCACCUUCUUAGAGUCGAGUUGUUUGGGAUUGCAGCUCAAAAUGGGAGGUAAAUUCCUUCUAAAGCUAAAUACGGACGAGAGACCGAUAGCGCACAAGUACAGCUAUGGGCAGAUGAAAAGCACUUUGAAAAGAGGGUGAAAUAGUACGUGAAAUUGUUGAAAGGGAAGCGUUUGGUGUCAGCCCAUGGCGUUACAAGGGUCCUUAGCUUAGGCUGCUGGUAACCCUUAAACGUCGGGCCAGCAUCAGUUCUCGAGUGUGGGAAAAAUGUCGCAAGAAUGUGGCUCUCUACGGGGAGUGUUAUAGCUUACGAUGUCAUACUGCCUUGGGGACUGAGGUUCGCGAUGACUUGAUCAUCAAGGAUGCUGGCAUAAUGGUUCCAAGCGACCCGUCUUGAAACACGGACCAAGGAGUCUAACAUCCAUGCGAGUGUUUGGGUGGAAAGCCCAUACGCGUAAUGAAAGUGAUAUUGCAGGCGAGAACCGCAAGGUGCAUCGUCCACCGGUCUGGAGGUUUACCGAAAGAUCCGAGUAGGAGCAUGGCUGUUGGGACCCGAAAGAUGGUGAACUAUGCCUGAACAGGGUGAAGCCAGGGGAAACUCUGGUGGAGGCUCGUAGCGAUUCUGACGUGCAAAUCGAUCGUCUGAUUUGGGUAUAGGGGCGAAAGACUAAUCGAACC
rnacentral:rRNA from 1 species